AUGCAUAAGCUGGUCCUUUUAGGUUAUGUAUUUCUGCAGCUGCAUCAUGUUUCCUCCACACUAAGCUGCUUUUUAAGCACCGAUGCCGUAGCAAAGAAACGCCAUUUCUCCAACCUCUGCGUCUCAGCCGUAUCCCUGCCUCGCCAGGCCCGCGCCCGGAGCGCCGCACUGCCUCUUCCCGUCGGAGGGUGUGUGACUUUCGCGCAGCCCCGGUUACCCUGCGCAAGAGCCGACGGAGGAGCGACAGCCGCAGCCCGAGCCGCCUCCUCCACUUCCGAGCAGGCGCAGCGACGGGGCGCGGCGACACCUCCGCCGCCGGGCCGCGGGGCUCGGCAGGGGCCGGCGAGGCGGCAGGACGGAGCCCGCAGCCACGGUGCUAAGGAUACAUCUGAAUCGCCAUGUAUCUCAAAAAGAAGUAAGCUUUGAAUGGACCUGAGCCCUCCUCCUUGAUUUCUGCAUUAUCCGACACUCUCAGGUAACAACAGUCAGUAUCUCAUUAGGUAGCAUACUGAAAUAAGUACUCUUUAAAUAAUACACAUCUACGUAUGUAAUCUGUGUUCAGAAGAACAGUACGUGCAAUUCUUGCAUGAGCACUUGCUACUUAGAUGUGAAAUUACCGUUAGCGUGCAUAACUUACUGUGGAUCAUAGGAUCAUGGAAUGGCCUGGGUUGAAAAGGACCACACUGAUCAUCUAGUUUCAACCCCCCUGCUACGUGCAGGGUCACCAACCAGUAGACCAGGCUGCCCAGAGCCACAUCCAGCCUGGCCUUGAAUGUCUCCAGGGAUGGGGCAUCCACAACCUCCUUGGGCAACCUGUUCCAGUGCGUCACCACCCUCUGUGUGAGAAACUUCCUCCUAAUAUCUAACCUAAAUCAAAACUAUGGAUAUGUGACUUAGGUCCAGUAUUUUAAAGGGCUACCCCAGAUAAAGAAGCAUGCUGUUAGUCCAUGUCAUGUUAAAGUCUCAUGGCUGAAUUCAGGCCUUUGUACUCAUGACACCUAUACCCAUCAGCAGCAUCUCACCAAGAAAGCCAGGGAAGCCAUAAGGCCAUCGCUGGGAACUUCCAAGGAGACAAGAGAAGCAGCAGGGAUUUUUAGCAGCACAAGGUGCCAUAUCAUCAGUCCUCUGCUUACUAGGCAGGCUGGCGCUCCAACAAAACACAGUCAGCAUUCUUUCAAGUCUAGGAAAGCCAAAGAAGAAAAGUCUGAAGAGAGUGAACUGCUUCAACUGUAAGGAGGAUUUCCCCUGUCUGUAUGACAACAGAUCAUAGCAUAUACAUAUACAGGGAAGAAACUGUUAAUUUCUGUAUUCUAUGGGUGUAUUUUUUAUUAUUCUUUAUUCUUCCCUAUUUUGGCUUGUCAAUAUUGAAAUGAUCAGCCAGUUUCCAGAUUAUUAACAUCUCUCUUCCUUCAGCUACCCGAAUGAACUAAUCUGUUGCUGCUGACAGUGCCUCUGUUAUAGCUGUCACAGCCACCCGGAAGAAACUGCAGCUGCACAACCCUUCUUGUCUCUUGGACUUUGCCUUUUUUUAGAAAACUUUUCCUUUACGUGACAUAACGUGAUUAAGGUGAGAGUUCAGGCUGGAAAAGCAGAGCUUGUGUGUUGCUGACGUGCGCUUGAGGUAGGCUGUGCAGCCUUCUUUUCAGGUUUUACCUCCUGAGAGACACGUCAGGCAAGAGAGUGCUGCAGCUUUAUCUAAAGCUUAAAAUGGCUUGGAUAUUCACUGGGGUGACUUGCCUACCCAUUUCAAGGCUCCCCCAAAUUCUCAGUCUUUGUUGUUGGUUUAUUUAGGAGUCACUGCAAGCCUUCAUAAUUUCUCCGUCUUGUAUUUUUUUUUCCCAAGGGACGGGGACAAGAGAGUGUUGCCUUACGUCCCCACCACAGUCCUUGCCAGUGUUAGUCUCUUUAAAUUGAGGCAGCUGUGAAAAGGAGAUUUCUGCAGAAGCUGGGUUCUCUUUCAUCAUCCAGAGAAAACUUUCCUUUGUUUUAAGCUUCAAGCAAACUCUCGUAAAGCUGAAUUUGCAAAGAUGCCUAAGGCGUAGCUUAGAGUUAGAAAAGUAUCUGGGCACCUGGUAGACCCACGUUCAAGCAGUACAGAAAAUAAAUUGCCUCUCACAAUUGCUGUGCACAACCUGCCCUUGGAACUGUGGCCCUUGGUUUUUCAGCAUCUCACUUCUUGCAAGCAAAGCGUGGGGUACAAGGACAGUACCAAUCCACUGCAUAUUAUAUGGAUAAGUACACAUAACUUUAUUAUUAUUAUUAACAGUAAUUUGCAGCAAUCGGGUGAAGAAACAGUUUAACAUCAGUUUAAUAUGACUCUGAUGGAUUGAUAGAAUACAUCAUUUGUGAUCUUAAGGUCUGAUCCUAUAAGAGAACAACAGAAUCUUCAGUUUCACACUGAGGCUCUUUGAAAUGCAGCUAGUUCAGAGGAGUUACAAGAGUAUAUAUGCCAGCGUCCCUCUCCUUACGUAGAGGCUCAUUUAGUGGAACAGCUGAAUGCUGAAUAAUGACACUU
ensembl:lncRNA